rnacentral:tRNA from 1 species
UACGUUGUAGUGCAGGGUCGCGCCGGGGACUUGCAGGGUUUCGGCCAUGGGUUCCGCGCCUUCCGUUGUGG